GACACUUGCCACUUACUAGCUGUGUGACCCUGGGCAAGUCACUUAACCCCAUUGUCUAGCCAAAAGAAAGAAAGUUGUAAUUCUCAUGCAGCAAGACAAACUGUAAUGUUAAAGAAUUACUGAACAUAGAAAGGUUGAAGACUGCAUAUCAUUGGAAAAAGGGGAGGGAACCUGGUUGUUUGGUAUGUUUUUUGAGGGGAUAAGAAAUUUUUGGUGGCUUUUACAUUUUAAGUCACUAUUAAAGAUGGGAGAAUUUAUUCUCCAUGCUAUCUUUCUCUGUUUAUCAUACCAUUUUCUCAGGCGUGUGAGGUUGAGUGAUAUUUCAUUACACAUCUAACUGGAUAUUUGGUGAAAAACCAAGCUGCCAGCUUUGAGAGUUUCCUUAAUAGAUUUUACAUUUCAACAUCAUCCACCCCUCUGGUGAAAGACUGAAUUUAUGUGAAUUGAUUCAGGAAUGAAUGGUGGGUAGGGAUAGCACUUAAUUAGCCAGAUGAGAAACGUUUUAUUAUUACAUAUUAACACUUCUUGGAAGCAUUUGGCCGUGGCAUUUCAGUGGCUGCAACAUGUACUCUAUUUCCAUCCCCAUUAAUGAAACAACUCACAAUUUUUCUACGAAUAUUUUUCAAAUCAUGAUUGAAUUUUAUAUAAUAGUGAUAUAAAUUUCCAUGUUCAUAGCCCUAUAUAGCCGUGCUCUUAUUUAGAAAAAUGGUAAUAAUUUCGACUUCAAUGUUUUUUUUGUUUUGUUUUUCCUGAAAGCAAACUGAUUUAUAGCUCAUAGAUUUUAGAGGGAAAAAUUACAGCAAAGCUCCCCAUCUGGGCAGAAAUUCCAUUCUUAUUGUCUUUAAUAUUCCAUGUGGACAGAAUACUAAAACCUAUCUUCAGCAACUGACACCUCUUUGGUCUAUUCUUGAGUUGAAAAGGAGAGAUUUAUAAAACGAAGACUAAAUCAAGUAGGUACUUUAUACCAGAAAGUGAUAGCUUGUUGUGGAUGCUGAAAUACAAACAUUUUUUUCCCCCAGCAAUGUCAUAGUUCUGAAUUUUAAGGUGACUGAUUUUUUUUUUAAAUGCCUAGCUGUCUCCUCGUUUGAGAAAUCAGUGUCUGUGGCUUUCUUUCAUGAGAGUGAGGAUCACAUCUUUUUUAGUACACUUUACCUUCACUUAGACUGUUUUUGGGGACCACUCUAUUUACUCCUCUACCCUAUGAUAUUAAGCGCCCUCUUUCCAUUACAUUAAAUGUGCUUUCAGCAUACUCUAGCUUGCAUUGUUGCUGGGAAGAGGAAUGACUGUAGGCUGGGUCCAGUUGAUAGAAUCUUAGAGAACAAGUGUAUUUAAGCCUAAACAAUGAGUCUCUUUGCACAUUUUAGGUGGAUAAGCAUCACCAAGUUUUAUACAUCACAAGCGUAGCAUUUAACAUGGGAAAUUCCCUUGGUGCUGAGAGCUGGUGCUAACACACUUGAACGGCUUAGUGAUAGCUUGCUGUUUGUUUACAUUUUUUUGGCUUACUAAGCACACUUCUAAUUUUUACACCUAAUGCCUUCAUUUCCUGUAGUAGCCAAAUCAUUUGCACAACAUAAUACUAUGUCUCCCCUCCCAGAAAUAAUGAAAAAUUUUCAUUCACCUUCUGUGUGUGUAUAUAUGGACAGAGUGUAUGUGGAGUUGGGUAUGUAUGUAUAUUUGUAUGUAUGACUGUAUGUUUCUAAAGGGACCAGUGUUAAGGAGAAAGCUUGGUUUUGUUGUGAGAUUUUGACCCAGGUGAACAAAACUGGCAAUAGAUGGAGUACAGACUGGUCGGCACCUCCCUAGGGAUAGUCUGUGGUUCUGAUUGGAUAACAUCUGAUCAAAUUGUAAGAGUCGGUCCUUUUUUGCUGUUAUGUUACAGUGCACUAAAGAAAAAAGUGUACAUUUCUGUAAAUGUGAAAAGAAAGGAUCUGCACCCUUGCCUCUGUCUAGAACAAUUGGAAACAGGGACAGUGAAACAGUUUCAAACUUUUUUUGAUGACAAAGAGCAAUAUGAAAUUUUCUAACUUUUAAAUUAUUUUAUUUAGCCUAGUGUGUAUGCCUAUAUACACAAAGUCUAUCUGCACAACAAAACUGAGAUUUUGAUUUAAUCCCUAUUGACUUCCCUUCUCUCUCCUAUCUCAAACUUAAUUUAUGAGCUUGAUUUUUUAAAAAAAUGUGGCCUUGCUAGAUUCUUUCCUCUAAAAGUGGUCGCACUAUGUAAAAACUGUGCUUUGCCCCAUGUGGGUUUUCCUUGUGCUACUGCUACAAUGUGUCUGCUGCUUGUGAACCAGGAGUGAAAGGUGGAAUUUUAACAACAGCACUGAUUCUAAUGUGCAAGCUUUUGCUUAAAUUGAUGUAUAGUAAGAAGGGUUUUCUACAUGCAAGGUCUUCAUAGAAUUCACUACAAUCUGUACGUAGCUAUCUAAGCAUGUGAUGAAUUUAUUUGAAAGGCUAUCCAUCCCUUUAUUUGAAAGGCUAUACCAAGAAGGUAUAAAAUGGUAAAUAAAGCUGCAUGACCAACUAUCCCUCUGGAUGUAAUGGGUAAUUUUUUCCCCUCUUGGAGUGUACUCAACUGACCAUCUUUCAAAGUCUGUGGCCUGUCAUACUUAUUUUGAGAAACUGAAUCUUGAUUUUACAAUUUCAACUAGAAAUUAUCCUUAGUGGCUGGGAUUUCAAAGAAAUAAAUUGUAAAUAGAAAAAGCCAUAGAUAACACAGUUUCAAAGUUGAUAAAUAUGAUUUUAGAAAAAAAGCUAGCCUGUCUUUAGGAAAAUUCAAAUUAGAGGUUAAUUUUGGUUCUCUGAAAUCAAAGUUUUUAUUUUGAAGUGUGUAUUCUCAUGCCAAAUCAGUUCGUCUUCUGUGAAUUUAUAUUCUUUCCACUGGGCAUGUGACACUUGCUCUGUCUUCAUUGACCUUCCUAUUCUACCUCCACCACUUGUUUUACCUCACCUGGCUCAGCUAUUUCACCACCUUCUGGGUGUUGUGUCCAUCUUAUUUAAACAGAUGUGUCUACAAGCUAGCAAAUUGAUCAGAGAGGUGAAACUGCCAUAUCCUCCUGUGGAUUCAAAGAAUGACCUUUAAGUUCCAGAACUGAAAGAAUGAAUUUGAGGAUGGAGUUGGUUCGGCUAAAGCCUGAUUCUAGAAACUAAAACAACCACCAAUCAAGUCAGCAGGAGCCCUAGGACAGAGUUUGAGGAUGUUCCUUUCUAAUCCUUUCUUAGCGUUUCUGUAUGGCAUAAUAAACUCUCACUAUAGUCUAAUGUUCUCAUUACAAUGAAAAGCAGCUCUUUUGUUAAGUAAUUUUCAGUUUUUCAUUUGUCAACUCUAAUAAAACUAGUCUCCAAGUGAUAUUAGACUAUAAAAUUAAAUUUAAAAGUGUCAGUGGUGUUCUCAAAGAUAAAUCUGGGUAAGAAAAAAAAUCAGUAUGACUGUAGCUAAUAAGCCAAGUAUUGUGCUUAAAUUGGUUUGUUGAUAAAGUAGAAAUCAUUAAGAGUGACAAAUAUUUUUCAGAUCUCAAAAGCUUACUGCCCUUUCCAUCUGUGUAUAAGGUUGUUGUGCUGUGUUUUUUUUUUAUCCUUGACUUUGGUUUGUUUUUUAAUUCAGUAUUUUUUUUAAAAAUUCAGUACCUGUAGUCUCCCCAGCAUAUACAUUGUUUAACUGGGCAGAUAUUCACAACAAUUUACAUAAUAUCAGAACACAGUAUACUCAUUUUGCUUUUUAAAGUAUUAGGGCUAUUAGGGCAUAUUUAUUUCUGCACCCUCUAACUCAAGUAAUAAUAAAAUAGGCUCGUAGAGAUAAUAUGAAAUUAAACCAAAAAGAUAUGCAGAAAACUUGUGGAUAUGAACAGUUUAUCUUAAUCUCCAUUAUCUACACAGUGCAAAGGAAGGAGCAUUGUACAUAAUCCAAAAAUCAUUUCUGCUGUGCAUUCGUCGUUGGAAUGUUGUCAGAUGCGUUUAAUCACAUGUCAUACUCAGCUCCUCUGUUUCAUCUUUAUCCUCAGUUUCACUCUAUCUAGCAAGAUGAUGGGACAGUUUAUAGACAGUCCACAGAGGAUACCAUGUAAAGUUCAUUAUUUACACCGUUCAUUAAUAGCAUGGUACAGUAGAGCAAUGGAUAGGAUGUGAAAGAUCUGGGUUUAAUCCCACUUCUGACACUACCUGUAUGACCCUGGACCAGUCACUUAACCUCUCUGAACCUCAGUUUCCUCAUCUGUAAAACGAAGGGAGUUGGAUUAGAUAGCCUUUAAAGUAUUUUUCAGCUUUAACUAUGCGACCCUUUAAAUUUGGAAUCCUAAAUCCUACCAAAAGUAUUGUAGCCUUAUUACUUUUACUGUAUGGGCUUAGAAAGCUAGAUUUUUGGACACUAACACAAGUAGGUGCCACCAAGUGAAUGGUGGCAUGCUACCAUAGAGUCUAACUAAACUAAGCUACUCUUUCCCCAAGAAUAGACAGUUGGAUAAUAGUAAGCAAUAUUUAGAGAAAUUUUCAUGUAAAGAUACAGUCUGACAAGACCACAACUGUUUGCUGACUAAAUUUCAGCUUUUCUCAUUUUGUUUGAAGGAAAACCUUUGACUCUAACCUACUCUAACCUGUGUUAAAAUCCUUUAAGGAAAGAAGAUUGGGUUCAGCUGCUUGCAGCUGUACUGUCCUGCUAACUGAUUUCCUACUAGCUCCAAAACUUAAGGAAUUGCCUGUGUUCUGUGCUGGACAAGGCAGGGUAAACACUCCCUUUGCAAGAGGGAGGAAUAGUGUUGACUCAACAUGCUGAGCUUCCUCUUGGUAGUCACAGUCAGAGUGGAAAGAGAUCUGUGGCCAUCUUGAGCUUCUACAAGAAUUACUUAAACAACAUCACCUAAAAGUGGUCAGACGACCCUUACCUAAAGACCUUUUUAGGGGGAACCUAAUUAGAAGCAGCCAUCAUGGCUCCACACAAGCUUUGUCUUCUCCAGAUGAUCCAUCCACAGUUCCUUCAACCAGUCCAAAUGAACACAUACCUUCACUCCUCUCCAACUGCUACUGGCUCAUUUCCUUAUUUUAUACCCAGGUUCUAAGAUAAUCUGUUUUCUCAUAGGGU